UGGGGAAUAUUGCACAAUGGGCGCAAGCCUGAUGCAGCCAUGCCGCGUGUAUGAAGAAGGCCUUCGGGUUGUAAAGUACUUUCAGCGGGGAGGAAGGGAGUGAGGUUAAUAACCUUAUUCAUUGACGUUACCCGCAGAAGAAGCACCGGCUAACUCCGUGCCAGCAGCCGCGGUAAUACGGAGGGUGCAAGCGUUAAUCGGAAUUACUGGGCGUAAAGCGCACGCAGGCGGUCUGUCAAGUCGGAUGUGAAAUCCCCGGGCUCAACCUGGGAACUGCAUUCGAAACUGGCAGGCUGGAGUCUUGUAGAGGGGGGUAGAAUUCCAGGUGUAGCGGUGAAAUG
rnacentral:rRNA from 1 species